rnacentral:tRNA from 1 species
GGCUCCAUAGCGUAGUGAUUAACACAUCUGCUUUACAUGUAGAAGGUCCUGGGUUCAUGCCCCAGGUAGAGCCA